rnacentral:rRNA from 1 species
AGAGUUUGAUCCUGGCUCAGGAUGAACGCUGGCGGUAUGCCUAACACAUGCAAGUCGUACGAGAGUUUUUAACUCUAGUGGCGGACGGGUGAGUAACACGUAAGAAUUUACCUUCAGGAGGGGGGAUAACAAUUGGAAACAAAUGCUAAUACCCCAUAUGCUUUCGAGUGAAAUGGAUUUAUAUUUAUCCGCCUAAAGAGAAGCUUNNGUCUGAUUANCUNNUUGGUAAGGUAAAAGCUUACCAAGGCGACGAUCAGGUAUCUGGUUNGAGAGGACGAUCAGACACACNGGAACUCACNCNCGCCUCCAGACUCCUACGGGGAGG